rnacentral:lncRNA from 1 species
GCCCAGCCCAGGCAGCCAGGGCUGUCCCCACCUGCCUGGGUGUGGUCUGGGCCCUGCCCUACUUAACCAGCUGAGCCAGGGGAGGGCUGAGCUGUGCUGCCUGUGCCUAGCUGCUCUGCCCUGGGGACCUGCCGCCCAGUCUCAGAUCCAGGAUGCAGCCAGUCACCACUGGCCUCCUGCUGCUCUUGGCAGCGGCGUUUCCUGUCCUGAAAGCUGAACACCCUAUGGGUGAGUUCACCCUCUGCUCUCCUGCUGCCAGCAUGGUCCCGAGCUGCCCUGGGAGGCGGGAGGGA